rnacentral:lncRNA from 1 species
UUCUUAGGGACUUGGGUCCAUUUCCUAAAGUGUAUACCAGCUGUAUAUUUAGAGCCUCAAUAUCUGCGUUUUCUUGUAUAUUGUUGCAUAUAUAGUGUAUAUCAGUUUCGAAAACUGCUUAUUUCCCCUCCACUUUUCAUCAUAAAUCGCGUGAUGAUGUGCAGCUGCUGUUUUACAGUGUAUAUCUACUGCAUACAAAUGUGUAUACCAGCCCCUAGGCAGAUUUUGAUGGAGAUUUUUGACUCGAUUAAGGAUGGUUUUGGUCCCGAGAAAAUGCAAGGGCGAUGGAGUCCAUUGAGACUCAAGUCGGUUCAUAUCACAUACAACAAGAGAAGAUAAAGAAUUAAUACAAGCCCCGGUGAAAAUGUACAACUAAUGAUGACAUCCAAUUAGGGUAAGUCAAUAAUUUUCACAAAUAAAUUUUCGAAACCAACAAAGUAGCAACUCAAAUAAUAUAUCACAAUCUUACUACAGAUUUACUAAUGCCAUAAAUUAAGAGAAAGAUAAAUACGUGACCAUCAAAUUUUGAUUAAUCACUUUAAUGAGAAAGAAAUAGCAAACAGAGACAAUGACGUGUUGUCUUCCCAUAAUCCACAUGAGCAAGUGUACAUAUAUUACUAAAUCUUUUGGCUAUCAGAAUUCUCUAUUUCUUAUCUAAUAUUCCCUCUGUUUCAUAAUAAAUGAAUUGUUAAAUUUUGACAUACAUAUUAAGAAAAAAAUAUUAAAGACAUAAAUUUAACACAACUUUUUAUUUUUAUUCAAAAAAGAAAAAGUUAAUCUUGUAAUAUCUUUUCAAAAGUUAAUUAGUUGUUAAAUUAUAAAUGCAAAUUUGGAAAAAAAUUCAACAAUUAACUUAUUUUGAAACACCAACAAUUAUCCUCAACAAUUCACUUAUUUCGAAACGGAGGGAGUACAACACUUCUCCGAUAAACCAAAAAAAUAACUUAUCCACCCAAACAAUUAUAUAUUUACCAAUAUUGUUUCACCUAAAAUAAGCUAAAGUUGCUAACUUUUCACACAAAAGGUAAAAUCUACCAAAAGUAAUGCAAAAAUUGAACUAACUGAAACAAACCCAGUUGGGAAAAAUCAAAAACUUGAGAAAAAACGAUUGAAUUUUCAAUUGUGUUUUUGUCAAAGAGUGACUGCGAUGACAACCAGUCAUCCACAAAGAGGAAAUUUAUGGACAGGACAGAUCCCGUAUCGUUUAAAUGAUUAUUCUUGCGCAAUGUUAUCGAGACACUAAUGCCAAACGAUACGAAAGAGGGAGCAGAAAACACAGUUUACUUUUCAACUCCAAAACUUCACUCAACGAUAUAAUUUCAUACAAAACCACCACAAUUUAUAGAAGAACAGAUUCUAAUGGCGAAACCUUUACACAAUCUUCAUUAUCCGAAACUAUUAUCCGACAACAACAAAUAUUCAAACCAUCAAUAGAAUUCCAUACUGUGACAUCCAAACACAAAACCAAAGACAAUGUAAAGAGAAGGGGUAUUCACCUUUUUUCGAGCAGCGAACUGGGAUUACGAGACUUUACGAUGAAGCUUCCAACACUAAAUUCGGAGUUUAAUUUUCGCCGGAAUCAAGCUCUUGAAUCCGUUUCUUCGAGAAUUUUUGGUUACAUAAGAUUAGAAGCACGCACUUCCCGAAUCCUCGAAUUCCUCCCCCCAAAAUUCCUCCCCUUUCUCUCUACAUACAUGGGUAUUUAUAGAAGACUUGGUACUGAUUUUGAGGGAAAAACAAAGGGGUAAAAAGGUAAAACGAAUUGAGAUUCAAAAUUGCAAAAUUUAAAAGAGUGUUUUACCUGGAAUUGGAUGAAAUGGGACGUUAUCUCUGAGCUGCAGCAGUUGUCGUUGAGAGUUGGGUUGUUGCUGUCGUCUGUUGCUGUUGAUAAUUGUUGUUGUAUGCUGUUAAGGGGUUAAGGGGAUUUGGAGGAUUGGGUCGGGUCGUGUCAAUGGGGCGGCUGGGCUGUUUGGGCUGUUGUCAUUGUUACUGUUGAUGAGAAGAAAUAAGGGUGAGGGUUGGGCUGGACCGGCAGGGUCAGUUUGAUGGGCCGCGUCUGGUGUAUUGGGCCUGUUGGGGGGACUGAUUCAGCUGGGCUGGUUUAAUUGGAAAAAUUUUAGAAAUAGCAACUCUGUAGCCUUAAUUAAAA